GACAGAGGGUGCAAACGUUGUUCGGAAUUACUGGGCGUAAAGCGCGUGUAGGCGGCCCUGCAAGUCGGAUGUGAAAUCCCACGGCUCAACCGUGGAAGUGCAUUCGAAACUGCAGGGCUAGAGUCCUGGAGAGGAAGGUGGAAUGCUUGGUGUAGAGGUGAAAUUCGUAGAUAUCAAGCGGAACACCGGUGGCGAAGGCGGCCUCUGGACAGUGACUGACGCUGAGACGCGAAAGCGGUGGGGAGCAAACAGGG
rnacentral:rRNA from 1 species